CUGUUGCCAGUCGCAUCAUCUGAUUGUGAGAUUGAAGGUAAAAGUGGCGAAGAGUACCAGCAUGUCAUCAUGGUCAGCCUCAAUGACCUGCCCGGUUUGUGGGAAUUUCCUAUGGAAGCCAUAGAAAACGCAUACAGCUUGUAACAAAGAUCUCACGAAUGCUUUACCUUGGAAAUGUCUGCUGGGGAAAAGGCGAGCGAUGUGGGCAGAUGACCCCCUGAAUAUCACAGUCCUCCUCCAAAGCAAGGACACGUCGCCGUCACCUGGAAGUGACCACUCUCUUCUCCCCAAGGAAGGCUGUUCGCCAAACCCCACAAUGGACUUGGGAAAAAUAAAUUGUUAAACUAAGAGCACA